UUUGGAGAAGAGAGCAAAGGUCUGUGGAUGUGUCUUUUUCCGCUUUGCUGCCGCUGUUGUUUAGAGAUUCGACAGCAAAGUGGAAGAGGCCGAUUCAUGGGGCAAGAAUCUUCUGUUUCAUCU
rnacentral:precursor_RNA from 12 species